GCCACUGUAAAUGUAUGCUUUUUGUUCUCUUUCUCCUAAUAAAGGUGUUACAGUGUGUGUAAAGUACUGCCUGAUCUGCAAGACACUUGUCAGGUUUCAGGAGUACACUGCUGGAUUUCACAAUUUUAACAACAUCAUUAUUUUGACAACUCGUCUAUGUGCAAUGAUGACAUCUGCCCUUAAGGUAAGAAAAAAUCAUUAUUAAUUGUUAUGUGCAGCAUCUCAAAUUGAUUUUAUGUUAAAAAAAAAUAAUGACACUUUUCAAAAACAACAACACCUUUUGAAGACAAACACAGCCACUGGACGGUUUCUAUCUAUGCUGGAGGACCUUCUUGCAGUAACAAUUCACCACAACACCUUAAGGAAAGCCUUUUUUCUUUUCUGGGCAAUGAUCAGAUACAUGUAUGACUUUUCAUGCAUUCGCUGUGGCCAUGAACCACCUAUCUUGAUUGCUGACAGCAACUGGAAGGUGGCUUUUGAUUUGCCUGUCAAUCUCCUGAAGAGACCUUGUAACGAAAGUGUGGAACAGAGUGACCUUAAUGUCAGUGUUGCUGAAAGAUGGUCGUCAUUAGAAACCAACACAAAUUAGCUACUUUUCUGUUACGGUAAAAUCUAUAAAUACUAAUACAGAUUUAUGGUUUAUGUUAUGUUCAUAUGAAUUGUCAUAUAAAUACUACAGAACUGCUUAGAUAUAUGAUUUGUCCUUUCUCUCUACAUCACCUGCAGAAACAAAGAAGAGAAACCCCUUUUCCAGGGACCUAUCUUAUUCAUCUUUUGCCCUGUGGCUUGGAUCCCCCUGCAGGGUUGGACCAAUUGUUCCAAAAACAAAGAUCCUCAAAAGAUUUUCAGUCAGACUAUGUGACAAGUCACCUCCUGUAGAUUCUCAUGCAGUUGAGGACACUGUGUUAAAACUAUUUGAAUCCAAAAAGCCUUCCAAAAAUGAGCUGCUGGCAGCAUGUACACAGCUUGGUGUGUCUUCUGCUGGCUCUGCCUCAGAUAUUAU